rnacentral:rRNA from 1 species
AACAAGGAUUCCCUUAGUAACUGCGAGUGAAGAGGGAAAAGCUCAAAUUUAAAAUCUGGCAGUGUUUCACUGUCCGAGUUGUAACCUAGAGAAGUGUAACCUGCACUGGACCGUGUAUAAGUCUCCUGGAAUGGAGCAUCACAGAGGGUGAGAAUCCCGUCUUUGACAUGGACCACCAGUGCAUUGUGGUUGUGCUCUCAACGAGUCGAGUUGUUUGGGAAUGCAGCUCUAAAUGGGUGGUAAAUUCCAUCUAAAGCUAAAUAUUGGCGAGAGACCGAUAGCGAACAAGUACCGUGAGGGAAAGAUGAAAAGAACUUUGGAAAGAGAGUUAAACAGUAUGUGAAAUUGUUGAAAGGGAAACGUUUGAAGUCAGUCGCGUUGGUUGGGGAUCAGCCURACAUUGUUGGGUUUACUUCCUGGUCGACGGGCCAACAUCAGUUUUGACUGCCAGAAAAAGGCCAAAGGAAUGUGGCACCUUUGGGUGUGUUAUAGCCCUUGGUCGUAUAUGGUGGUUGGGACUGAGGAAAGCAGCGUGCCGAAAGGCCGGGUUUCGACCACGUUCACGCUGAGGAUGUUGGCAUAAUGGCUUUAAGCGACCCGUCUUGAAACACGGACCAAGGAGUCUAACAUGCAUGCGAGUGUUUGGGUGGAAAACCCUUACGCGUAAUGAAAGUGAAAGUUGAGAUCCCUGUCGCGGGGAGCAUCGACGCCCGGACCAGAACUUUUGGGACGGAUCUGCGGUAGAGCACGUAUGUUGGGACCCGAAAGAUGGUGAACUAUGCCUGAAUAGGGUGAAGCCAGAGGAAACUCUGGUGGAGGCUCGUAGCGAUUCUGACGUGCAAAUCGAUCGUCAAAUUUGGG